GGAGAUGUAGCUCAGUGGUACAGCGCUUUCCCAGAAUGCACGAAGCACUGGGUUCAACCCCCAGCACCUCUU
rnacentral:tRNA from 1 species